CAACGCGAAAAACCUUACCAGUUCUUGACAUGAUCCUUAUGGAUCACAGGUGUUGCAUGGCUGUCG
rnacentral:rRNA from 1 species